rfam:Neotoma lepida isolate 417 scaffold_2583, whole genome shotgun sequence.
UGGGGAGUUGAUUUGUGCCUACGCAAGGUAAGUUUACCAUGGGAGAAGCAUUAAGUAAACAGGAUUUAUUUAUUUCAGGACUUAAACAGUCUCUCAAGACAUGAGGAACAAGGGUUAAAAAGAAAGAUUUAGAAAAGUUUCUUGAUUAUAUUGGGGACCUUUGUCCCU